rnacentral:tRNA from 1 species
GCCCCCGUUGUCUAAUGGUUAUGACGUCAGACUUCUAAUCUGGAGGUUCCGGGUUCGAAUCCCGGUGGGGGUU